UAAUGUAUAAGUAACAAAAAAGCAGUUGGAUGUGGCGCGGUGGUUGGCAUCUCACACACUGUGGUUGAAACUAAUUUUGGACAUAUUGUGACAUCUGAAAACCUGAAGAUCAUGCUUUUUUUCCAGAGUCGCAGUUAUGGAGCAGAAGGCGAGGACUCAUGAAAAACCUUGAAGGCAUAGGGAGAACGUGCCAUGUGUACACAGAAAGACCCGGAAAAGACUGGACCCAGAACCUUCUUACUCACCAGAUGGCAAACAGAGAUUUUGUGACCAGUCUGGUAGUCCAUCGGCUAUCAUCUGACGAUUUGGCCUCUGGGGGCAACAGCCAAAAAUCUCUGGAAGGUGAACAUCUUGCAUGCAGCUGUCAGUAUCCAGUGGGACUGAGUGCUGAGGAGAGGAUGCUAGAUAUUUUUGGCAAGGCUUUUCUCAGGAAUCAGAAAGCAAGAAUGGAAGAGCUAAAUAACAAUAUGUCCAUCAGUUCCAGGAGGGGUUUAUGGAACUGUGAAUAUUUGUGAAGUCUCCAUGAUAAUAGUUUGAUUUACCAGGUCAGA